rnacentral:rRNA from 1 species
UCCAGACUCCUACGGGAGGCAGCAGUGGGGGAUAUUGCACAAUGGGGGGAACCCUGAUGCAGCGACGCCGCGUGGGUGAAGGAGCGUUUCGGCGCGUAAAGCCCUAUCGGCAGGGAAGAAGGAGGACGGUACCUGACUAAGAAGCCCCGGCUAACUACGUGCCAGCAGCCGCGGUAAUACGUAGGGGGCAAGCGUUAUCCGGAUUUACUGGGUGUAAAGGGGGCGCAGACGGCAGCGCAAGCCAGGAGUGAAAGCCCGGGGCCCAACCCCGGGACUGCUCUUGGAACUGCGCGGCUGGAGUGCAGGAGGGGCAGGCGGAAUUCCUGGUGUAGCGGUGAAAUGCGUAGAUAUCAGGAGGAACACCGGUGGCGAAGGCGGCCUGCUGGACUGCGACUGACGUUGAGGCCCGAAAGCGUGGGGAGCAAACAGGAUUAGAUACCCUUGUAG